rnacentral:rRNA from 1 species
CCUACGGGUGGCAGCAGUGAGGAAUAUUGGUCAAUGGACGAGAGUCUGAACCAGCCAAGUAGCGUGAAGGAUGACUGCCCUAUGGGUUGUAAACUUCUUUUAUAUGGGAAUAAAAUGUUGCACGUGUGGGAUGUUGUAUGUACCAUAUGAAUAAGGAUCGGCUAACUCCGUGCCAGCAGCCGCGGUAAUACGGAGGAUCCGAGCGUUAUCCGGAUUUAUUGGGUUUAAAGGGAGCGUAGGUGGAUUGUUAAGUCAGUUGUGAAAGUUUGCGGCUCAACCGUAAAAUUGCAGUUGAAACUGGCAGUCUUGAGUACAGUAGAGGUAGGCGGAAUUCGUGGUGUAGCGGUGAAAUGCUUAGAUAUCACGAAGAACUCCGAUUGCGAAGGCAGCUCGCUGGACUGCAACUGACGCUGAGGCUCGAAAGUGUGGGUAUCAAACAGGAUUAGAUACCCGGGUAGUC